UGUCGCUUUCGCGUGCUUAUUUACAUAUCGUCUUUGUGUGUAUUUUUUUCACUCUAAAUAAGUCCAUAUAAUAUUAAACUGAACAUUAAACGGUUGCGAGAAGAUAUGGAUUUACGUUCUCGUGUCAAAAACAAUAUCUCACUCGUUCGCUGCGCUCACUCGUGAGAUAUUGUUUUUGCCACUCGAACAUAAAAUCCAUAUCUCUUCGCAACUGUCUAAUAUCCUCUAUAAUACUAUAUAUAAGCUCAGCGCUUAUAAUCAGAGGUUUAUACGGUAUAAGCAAAAUUUACUGAAGUUCAGACAUCAUCAUCUCUUUGGUGUAUCAUCUAAAAUCUUUUUAUCAUUAUAGCAUAAUUUUACAGAUAAAGCAUUAUUAAGCAUACUUUUAAACCUUGACGGAGAUCGAGAUCUACAAUCGCGUGCAAAAAUAAUGAGACUAUAUAUUUCGUUCUAUUUCUGUGAUUAUAUACUUUCUUCCUUCCCCUGAAAAAAAAUUUAACCUGGCAAUAUACCUUCGUAUCGUUUGCCCAACAUUCUUUUGGGGGGAGGCGGGCAAUGACUUAGUUGUCUCAAUAAUUUUUGCACAGGAUUGUCUCUAUUUUUGUACUUUUGAAUGUAACGAUGUAAUUUGUUCAUGUUAAUUCAAUUUAUUGCUGCAGGGAAGACGCUGACUUGGAUUUCUUUCUUAAUGAACCUCUUGCUAUAACAUGAGCUGAUCGCUUUUGAUUAGUUGGUGAACAUCUCAUAAGCUUCACCAAUGGUUUUUAGCACAUGCAUGUGGGAAUCCCUACUGCGACACACAGCACCACUUAAUGGAAUGAAUUCUUAAAAUUCCAGAAAGAAAAAAUAUAUCAAAACAAUUUAAAUCAGUGAAUAAAAUAUGUGCGUAAUAUUGUCCAUGAAUGUUAAAAAGUUGUUUGUAUAAAAAUAUAAAUAUCAUUUACAGUCAAUGAUUUUUACCAUGUGAAUAAUUAAUAAAUGUACCGUGACAUGCCAGUUCCACUUAGCACCACUAAAGUGCAGCAGAUGGUGGUCAACUAGAGAUUUUGAUCGACUAAAAUUAUGUUAGUUCUUUACUUCUUUUUCGAGUUAGCUGUUGACCGAUUCCUAAAUCAGGCGCCGCAAUUUCCAUUAUUGUAUAAUUUAUGCAUUACCAUGCAGGCUAAUAAAACCUUUUUUUAGCACGAAUGGUAUUUAAGGCAAGUGCAUAAUUAUAAGAGUUUAAAAAUGCUACAAAGUCCGUAAUGUAAAAAUCGCUUUGUUUACAUUUUGAACUGCUAUAUUUGUAAAAUAUGAUAUACUAACAAACACGUUUCUGGUUCGCUAUGCUUGUAAUGAAUAUAAACAAGACGUUUCAAAUCAAGAAAGUUCGAAAGAUGCAAAAUUUGAGCAAUGUUUAUAUCUGCGGGUCCCCCUUUGUUAUGAGCAGAACUGAUGCGCAGAACGGACUUUACAGCAUCUUUAAAAUUUAAAACGAUCCAUGGAAGCGAAAUUAUAUUUAUAGCCCUAUGAAACGCGCAAAAUGCACCAAAACGAGGCUAGUCAGUCUUCUUUGCUAAAUUUAGCACAAACUCCAAGCUUAAAACUUAAGCUUUAAACUUAAGAUUUAGUUUCUCAAAGAGAAUAAUAACAUGGUAUUAUAGUUACAUUUUGUAAAACGGAUAUGUCAUCAUCAGGCGGCGAUUAUUCUCUUGAUUGAACUAAUUUCAGGAAAAAAAAGAAUAACCAUUUUUCGAACAGUCAAUAUAUCUUUUGGGCUUUUUUUGGAGGCAGAUAUGUUCUGGAUAUGUUCUAUAAUUGCUUGUACAAACGCAUCACAUACAAAGUUGACCAUCAUCUACUGAACUGUGCCGACAAUAAACCAAACCCCCCAACCUCCAAAAUAGAAAUUCUACAAAUAUAAAAACUAAGAUAUGUGCGUUCACUGUAUAAAGCGAAGUCUUCCUUAGUUUACCUAGUUAAUGGAAAUUAAAAUAAACUAAAAUGUAAUUGGAACGCUA